rnacentral:sRNA from 1 species
UUCUUUUAGUAGAUCAACGGAAGAAAAU